CUGUUAUGAUUACAAUCUUAGGACACCUUUGAGAUGUAUGUUCAAUGAUAACCAUAUUUUAUCUGAACAGC